AGAGUUUGAUCAUGGCUCAGGAUGAACGCUAGCGGCAGGCUUAAUACAUGCAAGUUGAGGGGCAGCAUGAUAUACGCGAGUAUAUUGAUGGCGACCGGCGGACGGGUGAGUAAAAGGUAGGAGACCUACCUCAUACAGGGGGAUAGCAUAGAGAAAUCUGUGGUAAUACCCCAUGAGGUUAUAUGAAUAGAGGCAUAUAAUCAAAGUAUACGAGAGUAUGCGGUAUGAGAUGGGCCUACUGACCAUUAGCUAGUUGGUGAGGUAAGGGCUCACCAAGGCGAAGAUGGUUAGGGGUUUUGAGAGAGAGAUCCCCCACAUUGGAACUGAGAUACGGUCCAGACUCCUACGGGAGGCAGCAGUAGGGAAUAUUGGGCAAUGGGCGGAAGCCUGACCCAGCCAUGCCGCGUGAAGGAAGACGGCCUUAUGGGUUGUAAACUUCUUUACUAUACGAAUAGAGGUUAGUACGAGAUACUAAUAGGAAGGUAGUAUAGCAAAAAGCACCGGCUAACUCCGUGCCAGCAGCCGCGGUAAUACGGAGGGUGCAAGCGUUAUUCGGAAUUACUGGGUUUAAAGGGUGCGUAGGCGGUUAUAUAAGUUGUCAGUGAAAGGCUACGGCUCAACUGUAGUAGUGCUGGCGAUACUGUAUAGCUAAGAACAUGGGAGGGGUACCUGGAAUGUGUGGUGUAGCGGUGAAAUGCAUAGAUAUCACACAGAACACCGGAGGCGAAGGCGGGGUACUAGACCAUAGUUGACGCUGAGGCACGAAAGCGUGGGGAGCAAACAGGAUUAGAUACCCUGGUAGUCCACGCCCUAAACGAUGAUCACUAGAUAUUGGCGACAGACAGUCAGUGUCCAAGCGAAAGUGAUAAGUGAUCCACCUGGGGAAUACGGCCGCAAGGUUAAAACUCAAAUUAAUUGACGG
rnacentral:rRNA from 2 species